UCCGGGGGGAGCAAGCGUUGUUCGGAUUUACUGGGCGUAAAGGGCGCGUAGGCGGCCAGCACAAGUCAGUUGUGAAAUCUCCGAGCUUAACUCGGAAAGGUCAACUGAUACUGUGCGGCUAGAGUGCGGAAGGGGCAACUGGAAUUCUUGGUGUAGCGGUGAAAUGCGUAGAUAUCAAGAGGAACACCUGCGGCGAAGGCGGGUUGCUGGGCCGACACUGACGCUGAGGCGCGAAAGCCAGGGGAGCGAACGGG
rnacentral:rRNA from 1 species